UACGUAGGGUGCAAGCGUUGUCCGGAAUUAUUGGGCGUAAAGAGCUCGUAGGCGGUUUGUUGCGUCGGCUGUGAAAUCCCGAGGCUCAACCUCGGGUCUGCAGUCGAUACGAGCAAACUAGAGUGUUGCAGGGGAGACUGGAAUUCCUGGUGUAGCGGUGAAAUGCGCAGAUAUCAGGAGGAACACCGGUGGCGAAGGCGGGUCUCUGGGCAUUACCUGA
rnacentral:rRNA from 1 species